GAACUUUUAAGCUCCCGUCUGUUAUUCUACAGCUGGUCUACCAGGCGAACACGACGCUCCAGGAUCCGCCAUUGCUGUGAAAAACUGGUCCAUUGGAGUGAACGGAGAUGACGCGACUCUCUCUUUAAAGGGCUCUGGCUUCUGCCACCUGGAAACGACUCGGCGGUCCUCCAGCUUGUUGCUCUCACUACAACCAGCCGCUGUACAAAACGUACGUUCAGGCUGAAAAUUCGACCGUGGUGUUGUGUCGGGAGAUGCAACGACUUUACCAGCGAAACCGAAGAAGAAAGAGGAGGUAGCAUGAUGUGGCCACCACUGGGAUCUUGUUAGAGGGCAAAAAGAAGAAGAAAGCAACACAGAAAAUAAACCAAAAAUAACAGAAUAUGCCUUUUAUAUUUCCCCUUACACGCCUUGAUUUUUAUGUGUAAAUACAGAGUGAGAAUGGGAGAACAGCACAUAGCUCAUUGUUGUGUGCUUUGUGAUUAUAGAGUACAGGAGAACAGUGGUUACUUUAACACAGUCCACACCCCUAAUAAUACUGUCUUAUCUACAGGAUAACAAGUGGAUUUUUUACUACUCUCUGCUUACCUUAUUAGUCUUGUGUAAUGUGUGUAACUUAAAGAAUGAAAAUAAAUACUGUGCUCCUCUGUACCCCAUUAAACAUUUAAGAUUAUGUAUCCACCUUCAUAUACACCAUAUGUGACAUUAUUACAUAACUGUAGCCUAUUACUUGAGACGGGUCCCUUAGCUGCAAGGCAAGAUAAACUGUAAAUAAUUUUAUUCAUUGCAAAUCAUCAGCCCAGUGCUACUGCGCUUUAUUCUGGAUUUAUUGUUCCUAAAUAAAAGGUUUGUCACAGCUAAAUCA